rnacentral:tRNA from 1 species
GAGGUUAUAGCUCAGCUGGAUAGAGCAUCAGAUUGCGGAUCUGAAGGUCGGAGGUUCGAAUCCUCUUAGCCUCA